GAUGAACGCUGGCGGCGUGCCUAAUACAUGCAAGUCGAGCGAACAGACGAGGAGCUUGCUCCUCUGACGUUAGCGGCGGACGGGUGAGUAACACGUGGAUAACCUACCUAUAAGACUGGGAUAACUCCGGGAAACCGGAGCUAAUACCGGAUAAUAUAUUGAACCGCAUGGUUCAAUAGUGAAAGACGGUUUUGCUGUCACUUAUAGAUGGAUCCGCGCCGCAUUAGCUAGUUGGUAAGGUAACGGCUUACCAAGGCAACGAUGCGUAGCCGACCUGAGAGGGUGAUCGGCCACACUGGAACUGAGACACGGUCCAGACUCCUACGGGAGGCAGCAGUAGGGAAUCUUCCGCAAAGGGCGAAAGCUUGACGGAGCAACGCCGCGUGAGUGAUGAAGGUCUUCGGAUCGUAAAACUCUGUUAUUAGGGAAGAACAAAUGUGUAAGUAACUAUGCACGUCUUGACGGUACCUAAUCAGAAAGCCACGGCUAACUACGUG
rnacentral:rRNA from 1 species